rnacentral:rRNA from 1 species
UACGAAGGGGGCUAGCGUUGUUCGGAAUUACUGGGCGUAAAGCGCGCGUAGGCGGAUCGCUAAGUCGGGGGUGAAAGCCUGUGGCUCAACCACAGAAUUGCCUUCGAUACUGUAGAGCUUGAGACCGGAAGAGGUAAGUGGAACUGCGAGUGUAGAGGUGAAAUUCGUAGAUAUUCGCAAGAACACCAGUGGCGAAGGCGGCUUACUGGUCCGGUUCUGACGCUGAGGCGCGAGAGCGUGGGGAGCAAACAGG